UACGGAGGGAGCUAGCGUUGUUCGGAAUUACUGGGCGUAAAGCGCACGUAGGCGGCUUUGUAAGUUAGAGGUGAAAGCCCGGGGCUCAACUCCGGAACUGCCUUUAAGACUGCAUCGCUUGAAUCCAGGAGAGGUGAGUGGAAUUCCGAGUGUAGAGGUGAAAUUCGUAGAUAUUCGGAAGAACACCAGUGGCGAAGGCGGCUCACUGGACUGGUAUUGACGCUGAGGUGCGAGAGCGUGGGGAGCAAACAGG
rnacentral:rRNA from 1 species